UACGAAGGGGGCUAGCGUUGUUCGGAUUUACUGGGCGUAAAGCGCACGUAGGCGGUUUGUUAAGUCAGGGGUGAAAUCCCAGAGCUCAACUCUGGAACUGCCUUUGAUACUGGCAAGCUCGAGUCCGGAAGAGGUAAGUGGAACUCCUAGUGUAGAGGUGGAAUUCGUAGAUAUUAGGAAGAACACCAGUGGCGAAGGCGGCUUACUGGUCCGGAACUGACGCUGAGGUGACGAAGCGUGGGGAGCAAACAGG
rnacentral:rRNA from 1 species